rnacentral:rRNA from 1 species
AUUGAACGCUGGCGGCAGGCCUAACACAUGCAAGUCGAACGGUAACAGGAAGCAGCUUGCUGCUUUGCUGACGAGUGGCGGACGGGUGAGUAAUGUCUGGGAAACUGCCUGAUGGAGGGGGAUAACUACUGGAAACGGUAGCUAAUACCGCAUAACGUCGCAAGACCAAAGAGGGGGACCUUAGGGCCUCUUGCCAUCGGAUGUGCCCAGAUGGGAUUAGCUAGUAGGUGGGGUAACGGCUCACCCAGGCGACGAUCCCUAGCUGGUCUGAGAGGAUGACCAGCCACACUGGAACUGAGACACGGUCCAGACUCCUACGGGAGGCAGCAGUGGGGAAUAUUGCACAAUGGGCGCAAGCCUGAUGCAGCCAUGCCGCGUGUAUGAAGAAGGCCUUCGGGUUGUAAAGUACUUUCAGCGGGGAGGAAGGGAGUAAAGUUAAUACCUUUGCUCAUUGACGUUACCCGCAGAAGAAGCACCGGCUAACUCCGUG